UACGAAGGGGGGCUAGCGUUGCUCGGAAUCACUGGGCGUAAAGCGCACGUAGGCGGCGUCUUAAGUCAGUGGUGAAAUCCUGGAGCUCAACUCCAGAACUGCCUCUGAUACUGAGAUGCUUGAGUCCGGGAGAGGUGAGUGGAAUUCCUAGUGUAGAGGUGAAAUUCGUAGAUAUUAGGAAGAACACCAGUGGCGAAGGCGGCUCACUGGUCCGGUACUGACGCUGAGGUGCGAAAGCGUGGGGGAGCAAACGG
rnacentral:rRNA from 1 species